UUGAACGCUGGCGGCAUGCUUUACACAUGCAAGUCGAACGGUAACAGGUCUUCGGAUGCUGACGAGUGGCGAACGGGUGAGUAAUGCAUCGGAACGUGCCCAGUCGUGGGGGAUAACGCAGCGAAAGCUGUGCUAAUACCGCAUACGAUCUAUGGAUGAAAGCGGGGGAUCGCAAGACCUCGCGCGAUUGGAGCGGCCGAUGUCAGAUUAGCUAGUUGGUGGGGUAAAGGCCCACCAAGGCGACGAUCUGUAGCUGGUCUGAGAGGACGACCAGCCACACUGGGACUGAGACACGGCCCAGACUCCUACGGGAGGCAGCAGUGGGGAAUUUUGGACAAUGGGCGCAAGCCUGAUCCAGCCAUGCCGCGUGAGUGAAGAAGGCCCUCGGGUUGUAAAGCUCUUUUGUUGGGGAAGAAAAGCAGUUGGUUAAUACCCGAUUGUUCUGACGGUACCCAAAGAAUAAGCACCGGCUAACUUCGUG
rnacentral:rRNA from 1 species